rnacentral:lncRNA from 1 species
UAUGGUUUGGCUGUGUCCCCACCUAAAUCUCACGUUGAACUGUAGCUCCCAUAAUAUCCACGUGUCAUGGAAGGGAACUGGGGGGAGGUCACUGAAUCACGGGGGUGGUUACCUCCAUACUUUUCUCGUGACAGUAAAUGAGUUCUCAGGAUAAUCUGAUGGUUUUAUAAGGGGCUUUCCCCCCACUUCACUCUGCACUUCUCCUUGCUGCCACCAUGUGAAGGAGGACAAGCCUGCUUCCCCUUCCGCCUUGAUAUGCUUGAACUUGGAUGCAGAAUCACAGUGAACGAAGUCACAGAUGCGGACUGACUACAGCU